AGGGAAUUUUGGACAAUGGGCGAAAGCCUGAUCCAGCGACGCCGCGUGAGGGAUGAAGGCCUUCGGGUUGUAAACCUCUGUUGUAAGGGAAGAAGCCACCGCAAGGAUGGUGACGGUAUCUUACGAGGAAGCCCCGGCUAACUACGCGCCAGCAGCCGCGGUAAGACGUAGGGGGCAAGCGUUAUCCGGAUUCACUGGGCGUAAAGGGCGCGUAGGCGGCUACGGAAGUCCGGCGUGAAAUCCCAGGGCUCAACCCUGGAACUGCGUCGGAUACUCCGUUGGCUAGAGGAUGGUAGAGGCUCGGGGAACUAGCGGUGUAGCGGUGAAAUGCGCAGAUAUCGCUAGGAACGCCGGUGGCGAAGGCGCCAGGCUGGGCCAUUCCUGACGCUGAGGCGCGAAAGCUAGGGGAGCGAA
rnacentral:rRNA from 1 species